GGACCUAAGGAGUCGCAGUUGUGAACAGGUUUGGUGCCGCGGGCUGGGGUAGGCGGCGGUUGGGUCCGUGGCUCUGGGGCACUGGGAAGAUCGCGAGUCGUGCGCAUGGGAAGGUCCUCCCCCGGUCCUCCGGGUCAUCUUUGCUCCCGAGGAGCGGCAUAUUUCGCAUCUGCCUGAGGUGUGCCCGGGGGUCGUUGGGAGAGUGACGGGAUGAAUCCCUGCAGAGAGCCCGGACUGGGAGGGAAGGUGUCGGGGAGACGUCGUUUCCUGGCGACGUGGUCCCGGCAGGCGACUUAGACCUGAGCCGAAUCUGUUGACCCCAAAUUGUGCUUUUCCCACCAAGAAGAAAAGGGAGAGAAACAGUACAAGUUCGGCAGUAAAAUAUAGUAGAGAAGCAAUAUAACCUCUGAAAUCACACAGCUAUUCAGUUUCAAAGCGUUCCUAGUGCCCAGCUCUCCUAACUCCCGGCCAGUGUUCCUUGACAUAUGGUGAUAUAUAAAGACUUUCUGUUUCCGCUCGUGUGUGUGUCUGUGAGAAGCCUCUGACUCACUUCUGUGCUCCAGUAGCACCCUCUGCAGCCUUGCAAUGUAGCCCUUAUUGCAUGGCACGGAAGAUACUAGUUUGGAUUUCCUCUGCCAAUCAGACCAUAGCUAUAUCCAUUUUCUGGCACAGUGGCUAGCACAUCAUAGACAGACACAAACAUUUAUUAAACGGAAUGAAUACAGGACCUUAACUGAAUGAAAUGGUACCCUGCCCCGCUUUUUCUCAAUCAAGCUGUCAGAUUUUAUGCAGCCCGAUAUUCCAAAAA
rnacentral:lncRNA from 1 species